GGCUGUGCACAGGGGUGAGGCUCAGCGCUGCUGGGAGCCCGCUGGGCGAUGGCUGCCUUGCUGGUCAGCCCUUCUGGUCCUUGCUUGUGUCGCUGUUGUGCGGUAAGGCUCGUGGUUGCUCUGGGAUCUUGUACGCUGAGCUGAGAUGGCUGAAGAACCAAAGUGGCUCAUGGAGUUGAGGAUGGUAGCCUGCAGCGAUGAUGGCAGCAAGGACUGUUCUCUCAGCAGCAGAAGGAAAACCUGAACUGGGCUGAGAGAGGAUAAAGCCCUCCUGCACAUCCUACUGAGGCACCGCAAGCAGCAGAAGCAGCUUCCUACUGCCCCAGCACAGAGGACACACAGAUCAGAGGAGCCAGGAACCAGAGGCAGCGGGCACCCAGGGAUGAAGCCAGCCCUGUGAAGAGCAACAGGCAGACAGAGGAAGAAGCAAAAGGAGCCUAAAAGGAAGGAAAGGUAAUGCUCUGGACAGAGUCCACAGGAUUGACUUAUCCCAGGUUUAUGUUAUACUAAUUGAGCCAGUAUAGCAAUUGCUUCCCUUGCUUUUUGAAAUGAGUGAUGGUGUCUGAGGGGUUAGAUGCUGCCUGUUUGUUACAGGCUAAUAUAGAAACAACUGUGUCACAGGCUACACUUAAAUAAAAAUCUUCAGUAGGAAAGUCUUGCAUAAAGGAACAGAAUAUCUGUUAAGGUGAAGGAAAACAGCAAGUACUGCCAGACAGCACAUAGUGGUGUAGUUACUGAGCUCUUAGUAGACACUUCUGCGUGGUAAACAGCAUUUCCUUUGUCGAAAGGCCCCCCUGCUGAGUAAACUAGCAUCUUCAAAAGAGCAAUAAGCUGUUCUGUGCAAAGCAGAGUGAACAAAGGUGGACUCCUGUUCACAGUGUGUCAGCUAUCAUCAUUACUCAGAAGAGGCUUUUUUCCCUUUCCAGCUCUUCUGCCUUUGCUCCAGUUCAGCUUCAGUGAAGGCUGCCGGGCCCCAGUUUGUGAUGAGGUGCGGAUUCUUGGAGCCUGGAAGACAGAGUGCAUUGAAACAAGCGUUUCUGACAGUCCCACCACUCCCACUGCAGCAGGACAGACUCGGGAUGAUUCGGGCAGUGCUCCGUGGCUGGGAGCCGUCACACGUGGCCACCCAACUGCAGCACGAAGGACACGCGGGACACGGCGAAGGUGCUUCAAGGGAGAGGUUCCCAACUGCUGCAGUCUCAGCCUAAACAUCCAAACCACGUAGGUUCUGAAUGCAGAACAAUCCACCACUCAGAGAGAAGACCCUACUCUGACCAGCAGUUCUGACAAUGUAGUGUUUAUAGGCUGCAGAGAAGCUGGUAUGCUACCAGAGGAGGCAGCCUUGAAUACGCAGCUGGUUGAUGCACAUAUAGUCAGCCAUUUGUACAGAGCAGUAAAUGAUGCUGCAUAUACAAGCAAGCUGAGUAUUAUCUGAAAGCAACGCUCAUGAUGAGUUAGAUGCAGCUCCAACACGGUAAGUCAUCAAGUGGCCAGAAAUAUUCCCUCUUGGAAUCACCACAGUAUAUCCUGGGCCAGUCCAGACUGCUCCGUAGUCUGUCCUUCACAGAAGCUAACUCCGAGGACACAGUGACAGCAUAAAUAUACUCCCAAUUAAACAGAAAUCUCACUGUGUUUUGUUUUCCUGACCUAAACAGAGGCAGGGUCAACACCUCUCCAGCCCUACGAAGUACACAGAAGUUCAGUCUCUGUACUCCCUGUGUCUGAUUCCAUGAGUACAGCUCCUGGCCUACACAAAAAACACUCAGCGGAACAGAGAACAGGCCUGGCAUCUGGGAGACCAGGCACUGCUACACAUUAGAGGAUCUGGACUCAUUCCUUGCCCUCCUCUCUCAAUUCAGUGCUUACGUACUUCUAAAGGAACAAGGGCUUACAGAUGCACAUCAGUAAUUCAUCUGUACAAGACACUGCCCCAUUACACCAUCGAGACAGACACUGCAAGAGUAACUAAUUCAAAAGCAUCGCAUUUGGUGAUGACAGCAAUGGGACUGCGUUCAGCCUACAGCAGCAGACAGACACAUAAAGAGCAUUGCAGGCUCUGGCUGGCAUAGGUAUGAGGACAAAAGAAUAAAGGAGUGGUAUAUUUGAAACCUGUCCUCUUCUUCAAAUACAUGUACUGCUCUGUGGCAAAAAAUAAAAAAUAAAUUAAAAAAGAAAAAAGAAAAAUCACAUAACUACCCCACCUGUUGUUAUAAAUCCUGUGCUUUACUAAUCAUUAAACAGGCAUGACACUGAUGAACUUCAAAUUCAGUUCAAAUACUGCUUACCUGGCCAAUAGAAGAGGCUGAUAAACAGAACAGCUCACCUCAUAUUGCUCAAGGGCCUCUUUCCUUUCCAGUUCAAGCUGCUCCAGUUGCUGCAUAGCAACCUGAAGAGCCUGUUCCUUUAUCAUUCUCUGGUUUUCUAGCUCCUGCUUCUCUGCUUCUGUCAUCUGAAUGGUCUGUUGCUGCUGCAAGUGCCAUUUUUCCAGUUCAGCUCUCUUUGCCGACUCCUCUUCCAGUAAUCUGCAAUAGGGAUUACAGUGUUAGCUGCACUUUACAGUAAGCUGUAGCCAUCACAUAGCAUACACCGAGGAGAUUAUUUUCUUUCUUGGAAAUUUUAAUUAAAAAUAAAGUCAAAUAUUGGGAAGCAGAGGAAAAAGUAACUGCUUCUUGGCUUGUCUUCAGUGUGGCGCUGAAAGUCACGCCAGCAGUGCAGCAGGCUCACUGCUACAAAGGGCUAUUCAGAGAAUUCAGUCAAUGAUGCAAAUGCAAAACACUGAAAACCAGAGAAGAAACAAAAGUGCAUGAGUUAUCUUAAUUGUCUGGAGAGGACUAACUCCAUGAAGAAACAAACCACAGAAAGCAAAGCCCGUACACAUUAGAGGAGAUUUAACCCUUUCUCAGUUAAAAUACAACAGCAAGUUGUAUUCACAGCUCCUGCUUUAUAAAACACACAACUGAAAGUGUGUACAGCAAUGACAAUUUUUAAGUGUGGACAGGCACAGUGCAUGGUGAAAAGUAAGCAAGCCUGCUCUUCUGAAAUUGCUGAGUGCUAUCUGUGUUAGGGGCUAAAUCUAUCUAAACAUCUAAAACAUAGAUAGAUAAAAAACAUGAAUGCCAAUUUUGGCCUUCAUAACAAAAGCAAAUCUCCUUUCUUUGCACCUUAAGUUAUUCCCCGUUCCCAGCACAGUGUGCGAGAUGCAAACGGUCAUUAAAAGCAUGGCACAGUUGGUUAUUAGUGCAGGGGAGGGGGAACAGAAAUAUCACCACUGGGUAAAACAUGUACCUGGCUUGAAGUUUCCUUACGGUCUCUUCAUCCUGACGCGCCUGUUUCUCAACCUCCAAAGCUUCCUGGAGCUGCUUAUACAUCUCUUCCAGUUCACGUACUCUCUGUAAAUACUGUUCCAGUUCAGACGAUUUCUGAGCAACUUGCUCUUCCAUUUUCUGUCUCACCUAGCAGCACAAACGGAGGACACGUGUGAGUUACCGUUCAAUUCAGGUUUCCAAUGAUAAAGUACCAGGUUUCUCUCAGAUGGCGUUUUCAGAGAGACAUUUUCCUGUAGCCUGCAGAGCAAGACUGGUCAAAGAGAGCCCAGAGCUGGAGCUGUGGAAUGGUCAUUUUUACUGUCUCGCUGCAUGCUGCACGGGAUUCUCAGUGGUUUAAGCCCAUCUUCAGUCAGUUUGAUCAUGAGACUUAGUGUACAGAUACACGCUAAACAGAAGGGAAGAAAAGUUUGUAGCUUGCCUGAACACAAAGGUGAGGGCACCUUAAUUACACUGUUUCAGCUCCUUUACUCCAGCAAGCCCUCAUCUGGCAGCAGCAGAUUUCCCACACAGCUGGAGAGGUUGACUUAGCUAAGAGCGACCACUGUAACCAGAAAUUGAAGGUAAGGACUAGAAAAAAGCCAAGGAGAAGCUGCGAAUCUACAGCCAUUCUGCCUCAUCCCACCUUCCCCACCACCGACCAGAGCAGGAAAUGAGGGGUACUGCAGCAUCUGAACUGUCCUGCUCGGCUCACACCGGGGACAACAGCAGUCAGCUGUCAUUAAACUGAGAGAGGAGAACGUACCCAAACGUCCGCAGUUGGUGAUGCGUAACACUUACUUCACAGAAGGUAAGCACUGCUCCUUGUGUCAGCAAGACAAGCUUGCUUUCCAUUGUGAUGGGACAUCGUGUCCUGCUCCACUGGCUGCUCUCCCUGGGCUAACCUAAAUCCCACUGACCCAGAAAGCCAUGGUGUUCAGCAAUGCAUGCUCAGCCCAUAACACAGCACUGCACACACAUUUGUCCUGAGAUGUUCCUGCAUAAUUGCACUGACACGUCUAUUCCUAUUUCUUUUCCACAGCUGACAGAAGAGCCUGUUAAUGCCUCACAAAUCCCUGCCCUUGUCCCAGAUCAUAAGAGCAGCAUUUUAAUGCUGCAAGUUUUCCUCUAAUUGUGCUUGUGGGUGGAUAAAUAGAGAAGAACCAGCAGGAUGAAGAAAGGAACAGUUUGGGGAAUAAAUUCAGAAAAAUCCUAAAAUGCAUUUUAGAUUACGUCUUUGUUCAUUUUCUAUAUACAUACAACAUGGACCAGCCCCGGGAUCUCCAUCUGUGAAAAUAAGGAAGGAUAAAUUCAGUCUGCAUUGAUUUUUGUCAACCAUUCAUUCUACUUGUGACUUUCCAGUCAUACUGAAGGUCUGAAUGCUGUGCAAAUCGUGGAGCUGUUUCAGGUUUUUUUAUUCCCUUGUAAAAUUAUUUUAUCCUUACAUCUCUAAUAAACGCGAUGCAGACUGCAUUCUCCAACCUCCUGCAAGUUCUGCUGAAAGCUUGCAGUGACUGCAUGUGAGGGACGUCGCUGCUGAGCCCACUGCCCACAGCCUGGAAUGGCAGCAAAAGGCUGCAGGCACCACUCACCAUUUUCUCUCUCUCCAGCUCCAGACUGAAGCGAUCCUGCAACUCAACUUGGGUCUGAAGCCUUUUCUUCUCCUCCUCAGCAGCACGGGCAGCUGCUGCUUCCAGUUGCUGGAAGGAAGAGAAAGAAGGAAAAAAUAAUUCAUCAAACCCAAACCAUUUGGGGAAAUGGAAUCCAAUUUUUUUUAAAAAAAAGAAGCCUUCAAAAGCAUUAAGGCUUCAGCUGUUGCCUUUGUUUUUCUUUUGAAUGUCUGAGCCUAUUCUCAAUCUCUACCUAUCGACUUCAGUCUUACUAUUGCAAGACAAUUUUAAACUUAUAAAUAAAUAAUAAUAAUAAAAAAACUGACUACCAGAUUUCCUCCACGUUUCCUUUGAGAUCCCCAUGGCAAAAGCAACAGGGAAGGAAAUACAGCCACGUCUGUUUUGUACGGGGGAGAAAACUAUUACAGAAAACCCCACUCCAGGCAGGACUGCACAGGAGUUCAGCAGCAGUGAAAACAUGCCAGCAUGCACAGAGCUCAUACAGAAAGAGGGAAGCCCUACAUUGCCAUGGCAAAGCAGAAGCACCACAUUUGACUGUAAGAAGUGAUUGUGCCGUCAUGAAUCACAUCCCUUUAACGUGCCAUGAAUUGCCAUCUAAGGUAAAAAGAAUUAUGGACAAUCAUCACCACUUGAAACUGGGGGUAAAAAUUCUCCUUGUCAAAGCUAAAGCAAGAGAAACAGCUGCUGGGACCUUCACAGCCUCUUGCAACCUAUUGAACAGGGUUUGGGUUUGGUUUUUUUUUGCAUCUUAGUUUCAUAAAUAAAGAUUGCCAUUGCGUUUA